rnacentral:rRNA from 1 species
CCAGACUCCUACGGGAGGCAGCAGUGGGGAAUAUUGCACAAUGGGGGGAACCCUGAUGCAGCGACGCCGCGUGGGCGAGGAAGUAUUUCGGUAUGUAAAGCCCUAUCGGCAGGGAAGGAGAAAUGACGGUACCUGAAUAAGAAGCCCCGGCUAACUACGUGCCAGCAGCCGCGGUAAUACGUAGGGGGCAAGCGUUAUCCGGAUUUACUGGGUGUAAAGGGGGCGCAGACGGCGAUGCAAGCCAGGAGUGAAAGCCCGGGGCCCAACCCCGGGACUGCUCUUGGAACUGCGUGGCUGGAGUGCAGGAGGGGCAGGCGGAAUUCCUGGUGUAGCGGUGAAAUGCGUAGAUAUCAGGAGGAACACCGGUGGCGAAGGCGGCCUGCUGGGCUGCAACUGACGUUGAGGCCCGAAAGCGUGGGGAGCAAACAGGAUUAGAUACCCCAGUAUUG